rnacentral:rRNA from 1 species
ACGAAGGGUGCAAGCGUUAGUCGGAAUUACUGGGCGUAAAGCGUGCGUAGGCGGUUUUCUAAGUCUGCCGUGAAAGCCCCGGGCUCAACCUGGGAAUGGCGGUGGAUACUGGAAAGCUGGAGUGCGGUAGAGGAGGGUGGAAUUCCCGGUGUAGCGGUGAAAUGCGUAGAUAUCUGGAGGAACACCGGUGGCGAAGGCGGCGUCCUGGACCAAUACUGACACUGAGGAGCGAAAGCCAGGGGAGCAAACGGGA